AAUCAACGCUGGCGGCGUGCCUCAGACAUGCAAGUCGAACGAUUAAAGCUCUCUUCGGAGAGUGUAUAGAGUGGCGCACGGGUGAGUAACACGUAAGUAAUCUACCCUCGAGUGGGGAAUAACAACCGGAAACGGUUGCUAAUACCGCAUAAUGCAGCGGCACCGCAAGGUGACAGUUGUUAAAGAUUUAUCGCUUGAGGAGGAGCUUGCGGCAGAUUAGCUAGUUGGUAGGGUAACGGCUUACCAAGGCUACGAUCUGUAACCGGUCUAAGAGGACGGUCGGUCACACUGACACUGAAUAACGGGUCAGACUCCUACGGGAGGCAGCAGUCGGGAAUUUUGGGCAAUGGGCGAAAGCCUGACCCAGCAACGCCGCGUGAAGGAUGAAGUAUUUCGGUAUGUAAACUUCGAAAGAAUAGGAAGAAUUAAUGACGGUACUAUUUAUAAGGUCCGGCUAACUCCGUG
rnacentral:rRNA from 1 species